rnacentral:ncRNA from 1 species
CAAUUAGUACUUGUAAGAUGACAUAUUUUGUAAAUUAUUGCUUAGUAAAUACCAUAAAAAGUUGCAAAUAGUUUAUUGGAAUUUUAAGGUUAAAAUGCCAUAAAGGUUUACAUUUCACAUUCAGUGUUGAUAUUGAGGUGGCUUCAGAACAGAGUCAAAUUUAUGAAAGGUCUUUUGGAAUAGGACUCUGGUUCUGUUUUGUUGGGUUUUGGAAACAGGACCAUCAUUAAGAGGGAUAGCCGGGGCAUUCAUGUUGUGCUGCUAGUGGUGAAAUUCUUGGUCCAGUGCAAGAUGGCCUAGAGUGAAAGCAUUUGCCAGGAAUGUUUUCAUUAAUCAGAAAUGAAAGUCAGAGUUUCAAAAAUGAUCAGAUACCAUUAUAGUUCCGACCAUAAACGGUACCCACUGGUCAUAAAGUUUUUAAGGGAGUCUCUGUACAACUGGUUAGAGUGUUGGGCUG